AAUGCCUAGGAAUCUGCCUGGUAGUGGGGGAUAACGUUCGGAAACGGACGCUAAUACCGCAUACGUCCUACGGGAGAAAGCAGGGGACCUUCGGGCCUUGCGCUAUCAGAUGAGCCUAGGUCGGAUUAGCUAGUUGGUGAGGUAAUGGCUCACCAAGGCGACGAUCCGUAACUGGUCUGAGAGGAUGACCAGUCACACUGGAACUGAGACACGGUCCAGACUCCUACGGGAAGCAGCAGUGGGGAAUAUUGGACAAUGGGCGAAAGCCUGAUCCAGCCAUGCCGCGUGUGUGAAGAAGGUCUUCGGAUUGUAAAGCACUUUAAGUUGGGAGGAAGGGUUGUAGAUUAAUACUCUGCAAUUUUGACGUUACCGACAGAAUAAGCACCGGCUAACUCUGUGCCAGCAGCCGCGGUAAUACAGAGGGUGCAAGCGUUAAUCGGAAUUACUGGGCGUAAAGCGCGCGUAGGUGGUUUGUUAAGUUGGAUGUGAAAUCCCCGGGCUCAACCUGGGAACUGCAUUCAAAACUGACUGACUAGAGUAUGGUAGAGGGUGGUGGAAUUUCCUGUGUAGCGGUGAAAUGCGUAGAUAUAGGAAGG
rnacentral:rRNA from 1 species